rnacentral:lncRNA from 1 species
UUUUUAGCUCACCUGGCCCAAAGGGCCAAGUGAGCUUUUCUCAGCACUUGGCGUCCGGCGUCCGGCGUCCGUCGUCUGUCGUCCGUCGUCCGUCAUCGUCUGGCGUCGUUAACUUUUACAAAAAUCUUCUCCUCUGAAACUACUGGGCCAAAUUUAACCAAACUUGGCCACAAUCAUCAUUGGGGUAUCUAGUUUAAAAAAUGUGUCUGGUGACCCGGUCAACCAACCAAGAUGGCCGCCAUGGCUAAAAAUAGAACAUAGGGGUAAAAUGCAGUUUUUGGCUUAUAACUCAAAA